rnacentral:rRNA from 1 species
UGCAGUCGAGCGAACUGACNAAGGAGCUUGCUCCUUUGACGUUAGCGGCGGACGGGUGAGUAACACGUGGGUAACCUACCUAUAAGACUGGAAUAACUCCGGGAAACCGGGGCUAAUGCCGGAUAACAUAUCGAACCGCAUGGUUCGAUAGUGAAAGACGGUCUUGCUGUCACUUAUAGAUGGACCCGCGCCGUAUUAGCUAGUUGGUGAGGUAACGGCUCACCAAGGCAACGAUACGUAGCCGACCUGAGAGGGUGAUCGGCCACACUGGAACUGAGACACGGUCCAGACUCCUACGGGAGGCAGCAGUAGGGAAUCUUCCGCAAUGGGCGAAAGCCUGACGGAGCAACGCCGCGUGAGUGAUGAAGGUCUUCGGAUCGUAAAGCUCUGUUGUUAGGGAAGAACAAAUGUGUAAGUAACUGUGCACAUCUUGACGGUACCUAACCAGAAAGCCACGGCUAACUACGUGCCAGCAGCCGCGGUAAUACGUAGGUGGCAAGCGUUAUCCGGAAUUAUUGGGCGUAAAGCGCGCGUAGGCGGUUUUUUAAGUCUGAUGUGAAAGCCCACGGCUCAACCGUGGAGGGUCAUUGGAAACUGGAAAACUUGAGUGCAGAAGAGGAAAGUGGAAUUCCAUGUGUAGCGGUGAAAUGCGCAGAGAUAUGGAGGAACACCAGUGGCGAAGGCGGCUUUCUGGUCUGUAACUGACGCUGAUGUGCGAAAGCGUGGGGAUCAAACAGGAUUAGAUACCCUGGUAGUCCACGCCGUAAACGAUGAGUGCUAAGUGUUANGGGGUUUCCGCCCCUUAGUGCUGCAGCUAACGCAUUAAGCACUCCGCCUGGGGAGUACGGUCGCAAGACUGAAACUCAAAGGAAUUGACGGGGACCCGCACAAGCGGUGGANCAUGUGGUUU